rnacentral:rRNA from 1 species
AUUGAACGCUGGCGGCAGGCCUAACGCAUGCAAGUCGAGCGGAUGAGGGGUGCUUGCACCCUGAUUCAGCGGCGGACGGGUGAGUAAUGCCUAGGAAUCUGCCCGAUAGUGGGGGACAACGUUUCGAAAGGAACGCUAAUACCGCAUACGUCCUACGGGAGAAAGUGGGGGCUCUUCGGACCUCACGCUAUCGGAUGAGCCUAGGUCGGAUUAGCUAGUUGGUGGGGUAAAGGCUCACCAAGGCGACGAUCCGUAACUGGUCUGAGAGGAUGAUCAGUCACACUGGAACUGAGACACGGUCCAGACUCCUACGAGAGGCAGCAGUGGGGAAUAUUGGACAAUGGGCGAAAGCCUGAUCCAGCCAUGCCGCGUGUGUGAAGAAGGUCUUCGGAUUGUAAAGCACUUUAAGCCGGGAGGAAGGGCUGCAGGUUAAUACCUUGCAGCCUUGACGUUACCGACAGAAUAAGCACCGGCUAACUUCGUGCCAGCCGCCGCUGUAACAC